rnacentral:tRNA from 1 species
UACUUUAAAUUAAAAGGUGUGGCUUGCAUCCACUUAAUAAAGUAUUUAGACUUU